AUCUCAUAUCAUCGAACUCCAAUUCCAAUGCACAUCAACUCGCUCUUAAAUCAAACCUGAAAAUUGUAAGUAAUGAGCUAUACAGCCCAGCAAGCAACUAAUCGAUCCAACUAGUCGGGCCAAGUAACAUGUAUACACAUAAGAUAAAAUAUAUUUUUUUAUACGAUAACAAUAUACGCAACAAAUACUUUCAAAACACUUUCAUCUUCUUAUUCGAUGCCACAAUCACAUGGUGAACAAUAACUCAGAACUCAUAGUUUAUACCACGACCACUACAACCCGGUGAUAACGGUCCUGAAUUUUCUGAAAACUGUCACUAUAACCUCAGAGUUCCGAAAUCAUCGUCAACACCACACAUAUACGAGAACACAAAUUAAUUCAAAAUAUAAUCACUUAGCCCAAAUUUAUAUAUCAAAUAUAAACAUAUAACACAUCAGUUUAAAAAUACCAGAAAGAUCAAUCAGAAACUUACCACAACACCGAAAACCAAUAAUUAACAUCAUCUUAGAUCAUAUAAUCAAUCCUUAGCAACCAACCACAAUCAUCUCCUCUAAAACUCCAAAAGCCUCCAUGAAUCCAAUCUGCCCAGAUCACUAAUAUACUGUUUUGACCCCCUAAACGACAUUUUUUUGGAAAACGCAAAACACAAAAGUUGCAGAGAACGAAAAGACCUUUCCGAAAAGGUAUGGCUCGUCGAAAACGGACUCAUAACGAAUCGGGAAUCAAAUAAAACAUCUGCUGACUCAGAUUCGAAGCGAAAAACAGGGUCUGAAUAAGUUUUGGGAUUAUGAGAACAGUUCGAAAAAGAAUCUGAGAAAACAUUGUG
rnacentral:lncRNA from 1 species